CAAGAGAGACACGGACCGCUUUUGUUCCGGACUAGCUUUCCAAGGGUGUUUGUGCAGAGAGCAGCCUGGGAAGAUACAGUCAGUGUCUCUGUCUCCAGAGGAAAGGGCAGGUUUGUUUACUGCCCAGUAGAAUAAAGAUAAUGUCUCUCUCAGGGACAAAGGUCAGGCAGGCUUCCUACUCAUACUAAAAAUAAGUGACUUUCCUAAACUCAGGUUCCUGCCUGGUGUGACCGUCUCACCCGGCCUCUUCACGUCGCGCUCUGGGUAUUGGAGUCUACGGAUCCCACGCAAGAAAAUGCCAAGACUCUGGCUACUGCUGUUGCAAGGCCCUUGAUGGUGGACAGACCCCAGCACGGCCCUGGACAGAUUGUGAGGCACAGAGAAGUCACCUGCCACCUCCCCACCGUCAGAACAAUGAUGGCAGACACCACCAGGUCCUGAGGCUCUCCUGGCCUUUGGGCACUGUUCCUGCUGCCUUACAGACAUGAUCUCAUUGAACACUCACAACAUCAUAAGCCUCACUCGGGCAUCUAUGCCAGACACUGAGGGGACAGCAGAGAGCCACGCAGACAAAAACCCUGGCUGUCAGAGAAAGAGGUUGCGUUCUAGUGGGGGAAAUAGACAAAAUAAGGAACACACAUGGUACAGUUGUGUGUCACUUAACGGUGGGGAUAUGUUAUGAGAAAUGCGAAGGCAAUUUCAUCAUCGUGUGAACAUCAUAAUGUUAUAGGAGUUAUUAAGAAAUUAUUUUAGGCAGAUAGGGAAAGUGGUCCUUGGAAAGUUUUUGUUUCUUUUAAAGCAGCUAAAGAAAAGUUUCUUAUCUAGCAGGAAAGCUCCGGCUCUUAGAGCUAGGCCGGCAACCUCUGAUACGCAAAUAAAUGCUGGCCAUUAGAAAAUGGGUCCACCCAAACAUGGCGAUUCUCGCCCUCUUCCUUGCCCUCACAUGUGCCUGGCAAUAUGGCGGCACCCCCAUAUCCCCAUGUGUGUAGAAUAUCAUGGCGCCCUGCAUUUGCAAAAAAAAAAAAAAAAAAAAAGUGUAUAUAUAAACUUCUGUUAAUCAAAAGUCGCAACUAAGAAAAUAAAAAUGCAAGCCACAAAGUGGGAGAAGUUACUUGCAAUACAUUUCCUAACAAAGGAUUCGUAUCUAAAAUAUAUAAAGAAUUCCUACAAAUUAAUAAGGAAAGGGUAGAUGACCGCAAAGAAACAUUACAAAGUCUUGAAUAGACACAGAAGACAAUAUCCAAAUGGCCAUUAACAUAGGAAAAAGUAUUCGACUCCAUCACUCAUCAAGGAAAUGCAAAUUAAAACCACAAUGAGGCCUGGCGCGGUGGCUCAUGCCUGUUAUCCCAGCACUUUGAGAGGCUGAGGCAGGCGGAUCACGAGGUCAGGAGAUUGAGACCAUCCCGGCUAACAUGGUGAAACCCCGUCUCUACUAAAAAAAUACAAAAAGUUAGCCGGGGGUGGUGGCACACGCCUGUAGUCCCAGCUACUCAGGAGGCUGAGGCAGGAGAAUCACUUGAACCUGGGAGGCAUAGGUUGCCGUGAGCUGAGAUCACGCCACUGCACUCCAGCCUGGGCAACAGAGUGAGACUCCAUCUCAAAAAAAACAAAAACAAAAAAACCCCAAAAAACACGACAAUGAGGUGUCUGUAGACACACAUCGAAAUGUUUCAAAAUUAUUAAAAUAUUGACCGCAUAAAGCGUUAGUGCGAUGGUUAAUUUUAGGUGUCAUCUAAACUGUGCCACAGAGUGCCUCAUUAAAUCAUAUUUCUGGAUGUGGCUGCGAGGGUGUUUCUGGAUGAGAUUAGCAUUUGAAGGAGUGGACUCAGUGAGGCAGAUUUUCCUCCCCAAUGUGGAUGGGUACCAUCCAAUCCAUUGAGGGGCUGAAUGGAACAAAAAAAACAGUGAAGAGUGAAUUUGCCAAAUUUUGCUUCCAGCCUUCCUGUUUGAGCUGGGACAUCAGUCCUCUGCUGCCCUUGGACUGGGAUUCACAUCGUUGGCUCAGGCCUUUGGACUUGGACUUAGACUGGAAUCACAGCACUGGUUUUCCUGGGUCUCCAGCUUGCAGAUGGCAGAUCACAGGAUUUCUCAGCCUCUAUAAUCACCUUAAGCCAAUUCAUUAUAAUGAAUCUCUUCCUAUGGCUUAUUUGUUCUAUUUCUCUGGAGAGCCCUAACUAAUACAACCAGUGGGUUGUGAGGCAAUGGGAACUACUUCUACUGCCUAUUCAAGACUUUUGAAUGAUUCUUUCGGGUCGUCUACCUCUUCCUGAUUGAUUUGUAGGAAUUCUUUAUAUAUUUUAGAUGUGAAUCCUUUGUUAGGAAAUAUAUUGCAAGUAUCUUCUCCCAUUUUAUGGCUUGCCAUUUCAUUUUCUUAGUUAUGGUUGUAGCAGUAUAAAUUGGUACAAUCACUUUGGAAAACUGGUUGCAAGUAUCUAUUAAAACUGAACUUAUGUGAA